CCUACGGGAGGCAGCAGUGGGGAAUAUUGGACAAUGGGGGGAACCCUGAUCCAGCGACGCCGCGUGAGUGAAGAAGUAUUUCGGUAUGUAAAGCUCUAUCAGCAGGGAAGAAAGAAAUGACGGUACCUGACUAAGAAGCCCCGGCUAACUACGUGCCAGCAGCCGCGGUAAUACGUAGGGGGCAAGCGUUAUCCGGAUUUACUGGGUGGAAAGGGAGCGUAGACGGCGAUGCAAGUCUGAAGUGAAAGGCGGGGGCCCAACCUCCGGACUGCUUUGGAAACUGUAUGGCUGGAGUGCAGGAGAGGUAAGUGGAAUUCCUAGUGUAGCGGUGAAAUGCGUAGAGAUUAGGAGGAACACCAGUGGCGAAGGCGGCUUACUGGACUGUAACUGACGUUGAGGCUCGAAAGCGUGGGGAGCAAACAGGAUUAGAUACCCGAGUAGUC
rnacentral:rRNA from 1 species